GUCUAGUGAAAGUAAAAAGAAGAAAAACAGAGCUAAGCCAAGGAAAUGAUUUCUUUCCCACCUACAAUGCAUGAAAAGAAAUUAACAUGAAAAGGGUCUGAGGAAGACAUUAAUAUUUUGAUAGUGGCAGAAGAAUGUUAUUUACAAAAAUAAUGACAAAUGUUGAAGAGAAAAUACAGGCUUCCUAGCAACUAGACCAAAGAUAAGAUGCUGUUGAAUUCAAGAUAGACAUUUGGAAUAUACAGUUAGCUGUCAUUUGAACACAGGCCCAUGGCACAAGUUCAGAAACGUAAAGUUACAGAGAAAAUAAAGACCCCCAGAGCAAAAUCACCACAGUCUCCAUGGAAAUCAAUUGGUUCAUUCUUCGUCUUAAGAGUCCAGCAUUCACUCAACAAACAUCUUAUGCUGCCAGGUUUCUCUAAUGCAGCAGAGACUAGGCCCAGACAGAAGGAUAUGCCACAGCAGGAGACAGGAUCCAGAAUGAGAAUAGACAAAAGACAUUUUCAAAAGUCCAGGUUCACAGCUUGACAGAAGCCUUCACACAGAAAGAGCCAUUGCACAUUGGACAGAUGAUCCCAGAAUGGAAGUUUCCAGAGGAAAUAACAGUCAAUAAACAGGAGUCACGGCGGGAAGUACAGCAUCACGCAGACAGACUGGUUGCUGGAGAAGCCAAGAAUUCGACAUCUUGAUCCAAAGGCAGCCAU
rnacentral:lncRNA from 1 species